rnacentral:rRNA from 1 species
GAAAAACUAGCAUAUCAAUAAGCGGAGGAAAAGAAACCAACAGGGAUUGCCCUAGUAACGGCGAGUGAAGCGGCAACAGCUCAAAUUUGAAAUCUGGCCCCCGGGUCCGAGUUGUAAUUUGUAGAGGAUGCUUUUGGUGCGGUACCUUCCGAGUGCCCUGGAACGGGACGCCAUAGAGGGUGAGAGCCCCGUCUGGUUGGACGCCAAUCCUUUGUAAAGCUCCUUCAACGAGUCGAGUAGUUUGGGAAUGCUGCUCUAAAUGGGAGGUAUAUGUCUUCUAAAGCUAAAUAUUGGCCAGAGACCGAUAGCGCACAAGUAGAGUGAUCGAAAGAUGAAAAGCACUUUGAAAAGAGAGUUAAAAAGUACGUGAAAUUGUUGAAAGGGAAGCGCUCAUGACCAGACUUGGGCUUGGUUGAUCAUCCAGGGUUCUCCCUGGUGCACUCUUCCGGCCCAGGCCAGCAUCAGUUCGCUGUGGGGGAUAAAGGCUUCGGGAAUGUGGCUCCCUCGGGAGUGUUAUAGCCCGUCGUGUAAUACCCUGUGGCGGACUGAGGUUCGCGCAUUCGCAAGGAUGCUGGCGUAAUGGUCAUCAGCGACCCGUCUUGAAACACGGACCAAGGAGUCGUCUUCGUAUGCGAGUGUUCGGGUGUCAAACCCCUACGCGUAAUGAAAGUGAACGCAGGUGAGAGCUUCGGCGCAUCAUCGACCGAUCCUGAUGUUCUCGGAUGGAUUUGAGUAAGAGCAUACGGGGCCGGACCCGAAAGAAGGUGAACUAUGCCUGUAUAGGGUGAAGCCAGAGGAAACUCUGGUGGAGGCUCGCAGCGGUUCUGACGUGCAAAUCGAUCGUCAAAUAUGGGCAUGGGGGCGAAAGACUAAU